UAGACCAAUGGGCUUCAAAUUGGGCCCUCAGUUACACCUAUACAACUACAUUGUUCUUAGGAGGGACUCACGCUUCAAACAAGCCACCAUAGUGCAAUAGUGAAUGCAGAGUAUGGGCUGGGGCUUUAAAGGGAUGUUAGGGUGAGAUCCACAAAUGGACAGUGCUGAGUGUUGUGAUGCCUAACUUUUAGUUUCCUAGAAAAUCACAGCAACAACACUGGGAUCUAUAAAGCCUGAGUUAGGCACUGAGGUUCCCUGUGCAGUGAAUGAGAGAGCAGGAAAAGCGAAUGCCAAUGUGCCCUGAUUAUCCUGUAGCAGAUGGGCCUGAUCCUGCUUUUACUGAAGUCAGCAUUUUUAUCAAGGACGUGGAGUAGGAUUGGACCGUAAAUCUGGGAUCUGUUGGCAUACCCCGUGCGGACUCUUCACUUGGGGUGAGAUACCAUUCAAAGAUGCUAGCGCUGGAUAGCCAUCAGUAUGGAGAUGCAGUAGCCUGUUCAGUGCGCUAAAAAAAGGUCACCUGUAGAGGAGUUUCCCUAAGUGCCUCACCUUGGGGUCCCAAUCCUGGCUGCAGAAGCAAGAGGAAGACAGUCGUGUGUAGCCCACCAAAAAUGGAGCAACAGGGUCUGACGUAUCCUCAAAUGCACACACUGCUUGUCAUUUGCACUUCUAUUCUCCCCUGCCCUGCCUCUACCCACGCUGUUCCCUCUGCCCAGGGAGAGCGACUUCUGGCAUUGAGCAAAGUUCUUAGGCUUUCAUUAAAAAAAUAAAAGUAA